ACAAUUUAAGAGAGAAAUGUCCAUUAUAGAGGUGAGACAUAGCUCUCUCAAUCAAUACAUUACCUUGUUUAGAGUUAUUUUGGAAGACUGGUGUUACAGUUCCCCGUACUGUAAUGUUUGAACCAACCGCACCAGAGGAGUUUCCCAGGACAACCAGGUUUAUAUGACCCUUGUUGUAGUCUAGAUUCAGAUGAAGCCUGAGAAGUUACAGUUCCCCUUACUGUAAUGUUUGAACCAACCGCACCAGAGGAGUUUCCCAGGACAACCAGGUUUAUAUGACCCUUGUUGUAGUCUAGAUUCAGAUGAAGCCUGAGAAGUUACAGUUCCCCUUACUGUAAUGUUUGAACCAACCGCACCAGAGGAGUUUCCCAGGACAACAGGUUUAUAUGACCCUUGUUGUAGUCUAGAUUCAGAUGAAGCCUGAGAAGUUACAGUUCCCCUUACUGUAAUGUUUGAACCAACCGCACCAGAAGAGUUUCCCAAGACAACAGGUUUAUAUGACCCAUGUUGUUGUCUAGAUUCAGAUGAAACCUGAGAAGUUACAGUUCCCCUUACUGUAAUGUUUGAACCAACCGCACCAGAGGAGUUUCCCAAGACAACAGGUUUAUAUGAUCCAUGGAGUUGUCUAGAUUCAGAUGAAGUCUGAGGAGUUAUCGGUCCCUGAGGUUUUUUCUUUGGAAAGUAACCGAGGAGCCCGCAGUGAUAAUCCCUGUCAAAGGAUGUGUGUUAAGUGAGGAAAUAUAUAUAAACAGCUGAUUAUGAAGAACUUAGAUCUGCCUUUCCCAUCUAAUCCCAUGGAAACAUAGAAAAUUGCAACUAAAAGCUGUUUAAAU
rnacentral:lncRNA from 1 species